ACUCCUUACCUCGUGAUCCACCCACCUGGGCCUCCCAAAGUGCUGGGAUUACAGGCGUGAGCCACCGCGCCCAGCCAAUAUUCCCUUCUUUACACUAAAACUAAACAAAAUGAUUUGAAGUUCCACAUGGGCCCCGGCUUCUUGAGGUUGUUCUGUCUUCUUGGAAUGUCACUCCUUGCAAUCUCAGGCUGCUAAAAAGUCCUAGGCAUCCUGUGACACCCACCUCUACCCACCCCUGUCCUGAGAGAAUCUUAGUCACCACCUCCUCUGGCUUGCAGAACACUGUGUGAAUACUUUUAUUAUAAUACUUACCAAGCAUUGUAUUGUAUUGUAUUGUAAGUUUUUGUUUACAUGCUUCUCUCUUUCACUAGACCCUGACUUCCUUCAGCAAAGAGACAGCUUCUGAUUCAUGUUCGUCUCACCAUAAUAUACUUCCAAAAGUUACACUAGAUGUUAACUGAGCACUAAGGACACUACGUGAAAGACUGGAGUACAAACAUCCAAAGGACUGAAGAAUUUGAAGAGCACUGAAUGUGGGAGAUAGGACAGAGGAAAGGAGUCAAAUGUCUCCAAGAAACGAAGCCUGUGUGCCCUGGAGAAUGAAGAAGCAUCAUCAAAUCGGGGAGACUGAAGGAGGAAUCGGUUUUCAGAGAAAAACAAUUUAUAUUGUCUUAGCUGUGUUAGGUGGCAUACUAUUACAUUCAAGUGAAGCUGUGUAAUAGACAGAGAUGACAAAUUUUAUUCAUUUAUGAAUGCCCCCCAAAAUAUAUAUAUAGUUUUUGCCCUCAUGUCUCUUAUUGGGAUGACAGACAUAAAUCAAAGAAUUCCAUAAAUAAAUAUUAAAAUACAAUUUGUGAUAAAUGCUACAAAGUGGUACAUAUUCAUAUGGAAGCAUAAAGAGAACUGACCCGCUUGAGGAAGCUGGCAGUGAGAGCUGAAGGUAAGAGCAAGAGUUGACUAGGAGACAAGAUGGGGAAAGUUCUAGGCAGAAGGAACAGCAUGUUCCAAAGCCAACAGCAUAGAGACAGAAAGUAGAUUAGUGAGUGCCAGGGGGUGGUGGGGAGCAGAGAAGAAGAAGGGGUGUCUGCUCUUGGGUAUGGAGUUUCUCUUUGAGGCAAUGAAAAUGCUCUGGAAUGAGAUAGUGGUAACAGUUGCACAACUUUGUGAACAUACUAAAAUCCACUGAAUUGCAUACUUUAAAGGGGUAAAUUGUGUGGUAAGCGAAUUAUAUUUCAAUUUUUAGAGAUAAAGAUAAAUGCAAGUUAACAAUAACCAGGAAAAA
rnacentral:lncRNA from 10 species